rnacentral:rRNA from 1 species
UCGAUUGAGUUUGAUCAUGGCUCAGGACGAACGCUGGCGGCGUGCUUAAUACAUGCAAGUCGAGCGACGACACCGAGAUGGGUAACCAUUUCGGCUGAAAGCGGCGAACGGGUGAGUAACGCGUGGGUAACGUGCCCCAGACUUCGGGAUAACAACGGGAAACCGUUGCUAAUACCGGAUAACCCCUGCAGAUCGCAUGAUCAACAGGGCAAAGCUCCGACGGUCUGGGAUCGGCCCGCGGCCUAUCAGCUUGUUGGUGGGGUAAAGGCCUACCAAGGCGAUGACGGGUAGCUGGCGUGAGAGCGUGGCCAGCCACACUGGGACUGAGACACGGCCCAGACUCCUACGGGAGGCAGCAGUAGGGAAUCUUGCGCAAUGGGCGAAAGCCUGACGCAGCGACGCCGCGUGAGGGAUGACGGCCUUCGGGUUGUAAACCUCUUUCAGCGGGGACGAAGCCUUCGGGUGACGGUACCCGCAGAAGGAGGUCCGGCCAACUACGUGCCAGCAGCCGCGGUAAUACGUAGGGACCGAGCGUUGUCCGGAUUUAUUGGGCGUAAAGCGCGCGUAGGCGGUUAUCCACGUCGGAUGUAAGAGCUCGGGGCUCAACCCUGAGAGGCCAUUCGAUACGAGAUGACUAGAGGCAGGUAGGGGAGAGUGGAAUUCCUGGUGUAGCGGUGAAAUGCGCAGAUAUCAGGAGGAACACCGGUGGCGAAGG